ensembl:lncRNA
ACGCAGCACCCGAUCCAUGAGAUGCUGAAACGUGGCCGGGGCCCCAAACAAGUGUGGUAAAUUGGUACAAACCGUACGGGGUGGAGAAUGCCGUUUUCUCCUUGGACUCUGGCGACAGAGGAAUCUGCCAGUAGCCCUUGGUUAAAUCCAGUGUCGUGAAGAAACGUGCAGUGCCUAGCCGGUCCAGGAGUUCGUCGACCCGGGGCAUUGGGUAAGCAUCGAACCGUGACACGUCAUUCACCCUGCAAUAGUCCACGCAGAACCGUACAGAUCCAUCCUUCUUAGCCACAAGGACGAUGGGGCUGCACCAGGCACUGUUGGACUCUUCUAUUACCCCCAACUCCAACAUACUAGCCAAUUCCCUCCGAACCACUUCUUUCCACUGCUUCAAUUGAUCAAAUGUCUGAAGUGUAUUCCCAUACACAUUCACACACAUAAUAAAACUAGUUUUAUAUGGUCAUCUACACAUACAUAUUAUACAUAAGCUUAUACGCAUGAAUAGGAUAUAUGAACUGUAUCAAUUUGAUUCUUUUGGCUUGUUUUUAUUUACAUACUCUGAAAGAGUUGAGAUCAUGAUUCUCAUUGGAGGAUGAUGCAUGCAUGAAGCGUCAUGAAAGAAGGCACAUUUAAAGAAAUAUAAUCGGAUUAGAGUAACGAGGCACUUAAAAUGAGCCUAUACAUUUUACCAACACGCAUUUAACGUUAACUUGUCUGCGAUACUUUGUUGGGCUUGUAGCCUCGCUACAAGGAGCGGUGUCAGUUUUUGCCAUGACUAUAAUUAAUUUCAUAUCGCACAUUUGCCUGAGGUCUUUACAGUCUGUACACAUGUGACAUCCUCUGUCCCGAAACCCUCAGCACAGGACAAACUCCCCAAACAAUGACAAGCCCUUUAAAGGUUUCUUCCCUUUAUUCUCCCCAUCAGAGAGACACAGGAGUAUCCUCCCCGGGAUGGACAGACUGAGAUGGACUUACUGAAUGAACAACGUAAAAUAUGUAUAAUACGUUCAAUUCAUGCGACAAAUGAUUCAAAUUAACAUCUCAUCAUAUGAGUGGAGAAAAGUGUAUUUGCUGUUAUACUGUUAAAAUAUCCUGGUUUUCGGUGAUCGAUUCUUCCGCAUUCCCUGAUGACUGACAGCUGGUUCAAACUAACGAGACUGUCCCCCUCACACCUGAAACCCAUCAGGGUAUGACGACCUGAAGGCCUUCAUAAGGGUGGGAGACACACCAUUGAGGGGAAGAGAGAGAUGAGCUGCAGGUUCGGCCUGAUGCAAAAGACCAGACCAAUACAGGGACUGAGAAGACGAGGCAUUAUUUAAGUUUUACCGGCGAAGAGCGACCGAAGCCCAAGUUGCAGGCUGGCCUUCAGCGAAACAAACUACCUGGGGUACACCAUUGAAAGGGGUUUGGUCAAGCCCCAGGAAGCCAAGUUGCGGGCCAUACAGGACUGGCCACAGCCCAUCACCAAGAAACAGGCUCACUGAAUGGUGAGGUGGAACCCUGCGGCGGAGGCGGCCUUCAGCAACCUGAAGCGAGCUCUGUGCUCUGGUCCAGUCCUGGUGGCACCAGACUUCCAGAAGGAAUUAAUCGUCCAGGCGGACGCUUCAGAGGGCUGGCAAGAGCCACAGCAAUGCGGAUGCGCUCUCCAGACGUGACGCCUUCUGCACCUCCUUCACCCCGACGAGGACGUCAGUCUCGAGGGGGGGUGUGUGUGAUGUCACGAGAGGCUGGGUCUUGGAAGGGAGACUUUUCCCUGCACAGUUUGAAGAAUGCCAAGGGGUCCCAGGGCCACUGUCCUACCUGAAAGGCAGGGGAGGAGAUGAGAUGGGGAGCGACUGGAGAAAGCCGCAGGGCAAGAAGAGCGGAGACGUUCAGGGGCAACGGGCAAAGGAGGACUGGGAGGUUCCGUCUGCCUGUGCCUCCCCUUGGUGAUUGAAGAGAUGAGCAGAAUAACCAUUUAAUUGUGAAUCUAUUUCUUGUGUGAAUUUAUCAAUGAUAUUGUCUUAAAAAUCACAGAUAGAUCCUGGAAAUGUUGAAUUUUUACAUUUUGUCACCUAGUUUUUUUCGCCCUGUUCACCUAUCCACUAACUCUAUAGUCCUUUCAGAUCCAUUCUCCGCCCCAGUGAACACUUGCGUGCACUUCCCUCACUUGAUACUCCCGCCCUGCUCACCUGCAGCUCGUUCCCACAUUACUCAUUCACUAUUUAGGUUCACUCACUUGCACCUGCCUCUUGCCACAUUGUAUUGUGUCCCUGCCAAGUUCUUCAGCAUGACAUUGCAGUCUGUCUCUGACCUUUUUCCUCUGACCCCUGGCUGCUGUUUUUUUACCUUCAAUUCUCUGCCUGCUCCUUUUCUUUGGUUUGCCUGUGUGACUGAUAUCCUGGUUUGCACCCUGCCUGUCAACCAAGCAAACCCACUUUGACAUAUUGUGCAUUUGGGUCAGACUACAGCUUAAACUUAGGUUUGUUUAUUCAAACACAAAUUUAACAGACCCUUGAUGUUCACACACCUCAUUUUCUUUUGCAUGUUUGUAAAAUGACCAGAAUAUCUUAUCGCUAUUGAAGAAGAAAAAGCAGACAACCACAGUUCGCUGUUGAUUUGACAAAGAAUGUUUGAUGUUUAUAUAAAAAAAAUGGAAAUUGAGCAAUCUGGGAUCCUGUCUACGAGAAGGGUCUCUUUUACCAGCUCCAGCAGACAAAGGCCCCACUCACACACCUUUUGUCUUAUUACCGUAAAUAGCCGGCGGGCUAGCUAACGCCCUGAGGAAGAUCCUCCAUUUGAGUGUCUUCCACUACCAAGGACCCGAUUUAAUGGUGAUAAGAGGUGGUGAAAUGGUUCAAACAUAAUACCUAAGUUAACACUGACAUUUAAAAAAACGAAAACAUUCCACUUGAAUGUUUGUACAGUCAGCUACAGACCGUGGAUCACUUUACCUGUGGACAGAACAGGAUAGCAGCUUUCCUAUUCGAAGUGCAGUGCUCAGAUCAGCUGGCCGGAUACAACAAUGUUAGAAUACAACAACACACAGGAAUACGGUGGAUAUACCGUAAAUCACAGACUAUAGAGCGCACCUGAAUAUAUGCAGCACCACCUAAAUUUAGAACGAAAAAAAGAUGUGCACAUAUAUACGCACCGGCCUAUAAACCGCAAGUGUCCACUCCAGUGACGUGCGGUCGCUGGAGGCAGUGCCUCCCCUUGUGUCAUCAUGAAAUAUGAAAAAAAAAAAUGUAUAUAUAUAUUUGUCCACUGAUCUGUGAUAGAUUAGAUUCAACUUUAUUGUCAUUGCACAAGUACUGAGGCAACGAAAUGCAGUUUAACAUCCAACCAGAGUGCAAAAUAGCAAAAAAUGUGCCAGUGUAAUUAUUAUGUGAAGUGAGUAUGUGAAGUGUAAUUAUUAGAUCAAUCAAUGCGAUCAUUGUUAUAGUUUAAAUGAAUUUGUAUUUUCAGCGACUAGCUGCGCCUCCUUCUCGGAUUGUGCAAUCCCUCAUAAACCAGAUUGAGCUGCUCAUGUUUUUGCCCAAUUUCAGCACGUGCAAUUAAUGUCUCUAUAUGUCACCAAUGUAAUGUUUGUAUCACAUGUCCUCACUCCCCAUAGUCUGGGUCCUGUAUUUCACGCAUGUUAGCUAAUCUGACGUAACGGCGCAGUAAGGAGGCAGCUGGACUGGCAGCUUUCUGCUUGUCACUGUUGUGGAGGCGGAGUCAGUACCUCUGCCUGUCUGAAGGGGGCGUGUGUGAGCACACGGGAUCCUUCCGCUGUUGUUUUUCUUCACGUAUCACAGACUGAUAGCAUAGUUAGCAUGUGCUAACUUAAUCACAGAUUUUCAAUAAUAAUGAAGUUUGCUUUCAAAGAAGUUCAUGUACUCUAUGUAAAGGUGUGUGCAUAUGAAGCUGUUCAAGUCCAGUUCCAGGCCUUCUCCAACCUCCAUCAUAUUGCAGUGCAUGCGGUUCUCCUGCUGUCACUGCUUCCUUCCCUACGUCUCACUCUUGUCUAUUCACGCCUCACUGUUUAUCUUUUACAAUAUCUUUGCUUAUUCUACCCAGUAUCUUUGCCCCCCAACUCCCCAUCAACCCUUCCUUUUGUAUUUAUUGCUGUAUUUAUUUCUGCUGAAAAGCCAGUCUAGUUCAUUUGCUAGUCGACCAGGCAGAGUAGGGCUCCUAUUCUUAGGCUUUUAUUAACAUCAUGGACUGCACAACAGCUACAGAAUCUAUUAUUCAUUAAGUGUAACCAAUAUAAAAUUUAAAACAGUCUGGGCUCUUUUUUUGGUGGAAAUAUGUAAGGUCAGCAUAAUUUUCUGCCUAUUACUAAUAUCUAUAUCAUCUUUUCCUUAGUCAGCUCCAUUUAAAUAUGCAAUCAUUUACAGCUUUUGACUAUAUGUGUGUGCACACCCAAUAUCCAAUAUUCCUCUACUAGACUUUUUAUGCUGACAUCAAUGGCAAGCUAUUAAAGACAGUAUUUCAUUAUUGGUUCUUCUUCCCCAGUGGUUAUUUACAAUCCCAUAUAUACUAAGCACUGAUAUUAAAGGAGACCAUUUUAAUGAGGUGCUAUCUGCCAUGGCAAUAUGUCUUUCUCCGAAUGAGAUUGUGUUUAAAGAUUUUAUCAAGAAAUGGCUGUUCGGCAGGGUUAUGUUUUGUCCAUGAAAUAUGCAUUUCAUAUCUCUUUCAUUUCAUUAACAUAAUUUAAUUUGUGCUUUGCAUUCUGUGCAUAAUACAUAUUUGAUUUACAAAACAAAUAUUUCCAUUAGAAAAUGAAUUUCAUGCGCGCAAAAGGCAGAACUGAAAGAUGUAUUGUAAAGAAGUAAGAGGAGAAAAGAAAACGAAUUGUAUUAUCUUUGACUCAGGGAAAAGAAGAAAUCAUUGGCAAGUAAAAAUACUCUCAAUAGAUUUCUUAUGUGUGUAUGCGUGGGGGGACACUCUGUUAUAUGUGCAUGUUUGUAUAGACAGUAUGUAAAUGGGAAAUAAAAGUCGUUGGUAUAUUGCAUGGAGUCUAGAGCCAUAUAACACAGAUUGAUUUACAUGACCUGCAUAGGGUUUCCCUCCCUGAUGUUAAGUUCACUCAUCAGAGUCACAUGACUUGUUUUGAAUCUUGAUUUUGUGUCCCUCCUUUUGAGAGUGAGACCUGUCUUAAGUGGGCAUUCUGUGGGGAGAAUCGUUGUGUGGGACGCGCACAUCAAGAGGCUUUAAUUUUUCCCAUCUCCAAGGUUU